rnacentral:rRNA from 1 species
GAUGAACGCUGGCGGCGUGCCUAAUACAUGCAAGUCGAGCGAACAGACGAGGAGCUUGCUCCUCUGACGUUAGCGGCGGACGGGUGAGUAACACGUGGAUAACCUACCUAUAAGACUUGGAUAACUUCGGGAAACCGGAUCUAAUACUGGCUAAUAUAUUGAACCGCAUGGUUCAAUAGUGAAAGACGGUUUUGCUGUCACUUAUAGAUGGAUCCGCGUCGCAUUAGCUAGUUGGUAAGGUAACGGCUUACCAAGGCAACGAUGCGUAGCCGACCUGAGAGGGUGAUCAGCCACACUGGAACUGAGACACGGUCCAGACUCCUACGGGAGGCAGCAGUAGGGAAUCUUCCGCAAUGGGCGAAAGCCUGACGGAGCAACGCCGCGUGAGUGAUGAAGGUCUUCGGAUCGUAAAGCUCUGUUGUUAGGGAAGAACAAAUGUGUAAGUAACUAUGCACGUCUUGACGGUACCUAAUCAGAAAGCCACGGCUAACUACGUG